UACGGGGGGAGCAAGCGUUGUUCGGAUUUACUGGGCGUAAAGGGCGCGUAGGCGGCCACUGCAAGUCGGUUGUGAAAUCUCCGGGCUUAACCCGGAAAGGUCAAUCGAUACUGCAGGGCUAGAGUGCAGAAGGGGCAACUGGAAUUCUCGGUGUAGCGGUGAAAUGCGUAGAUAUCGGGAGGAACACCAGUGGCGAAGGCGGCUUCCUGGCCUGUUCUUGACGCUGAGGCGCGAAAGCUAGGGGAGCAAACGGG
rnacentral:rRNA from 1 species